AAGUCGUAACAAGGUUUCCGUAGGUGAACCUGCGGAAGGAUCAUUAACAAAUCAACAAUCACGUUGCCGAGGGAUCGCAGUGGGCGUUGGAACGGCCGAGGGAUUCAGAUGCACGGGGGGCUUGCAGUGGGAUUGCAGUGGGAUGGGAACGGCAGAGGGAUUUUCUUGGCAGAGGGAUUUACUUGGCAGAGGGAUCAAAUGGGGGAGAGCAUAUGGCGUGGCAGGGCAUUUUUGAAUGCACAGCCAGCCAAACACCAUAUCUAAUGCAUUAUGCAUGUACAACUAUUAACAAUGGAUCUCUAGGCUCUU
rnacentral:misc_RNA from 1 species